rnacentral:lncRNA from 1 species
AGUGCUUUCUCAAUUCUGCAAAUCAAGUCUACAUAAUGAUGUAUUUAUUAUAUUAACACCUCACAGUACCUCAGUUUCUCUCUCACUGUCUUGCAGGGAAUGAGGAAAAAUAGCAUACACCUUUCAAAAACAUGUAUUGUUGCCAGGCCUAUAAUCCCCACUGCUGCGAAGAACUGACAUUCCCAAAAUGAUUCCUGUCUGUGCUGAAUCAAUGGAACAAGAGUGUGAUAUGUCUAUAUUAGAGCAAGUACUAGUAAUGAGAUUACCAAGAGCUAUUCAGGCAAAUAUUCAUGCCAGCUCCGGCAUCGUUGACCCUCUGUAGCCACCGUUGGGUUCGACCACGAGGACCUGUGCAUAGCCAUUCCUUGGCAGUACCCUGACUUGUUUACUGCCUUUCGCAGUGAAAGUAAAACCUUCCAAAGCACCCAAGUGACUUAGGAAUCUAGUCAAGAUUUUCUAAAGCAAGGUAAGCAAAUAGGCUUGUAAAUCUCAUGGAAGAUCAAUGUGGUUUUGGUGCAGAUUUGCUAGGGUAAGUUUUACUCCUUAGAUCCCUUUCUCAUUGCAAGCCUACUUUAGAAAAAAUAAUCUAUUUACAGUACUAUAGUAUUAUAAACCUGUUUCCCAGAUCAUCAUUUAUAGCCUUAAAAAAAAAAAAAAAAUUAAAGCAAAGCAGAUGUUCUAACUCAGCACAAUUGUUCUUAGCUUGGAUUCAGCUUUGAAGUUUGCUGUUUCAAUUCCAGAUCCAAAGAAGCACCUGCAUGCCUGGAAGCUUGUCUGUUCUUUCCAGUUGUAUCAAUAGGUCUAAUAAGUCACUCAUUUUUCUCUCAAGUUGUCAGGAUAUUUUUGUUUUUGUUAUGAUCUCAUAAUAUGCCCUCAGAGGAAAAUUUAGUACAGCCUUCAAGCACAAAACAUUUUUAUGUUUUGUUUGGAAUUGCUAAAUUCUGUUAUUGCAUUGUGCUGGCCCUUCCAGUCUCUUUUUUGUGUUAAAAAUUUCCUAUGUAUUUUUAUGCAAUUCAUCCCAGAUUCAGCAUUAAGCCACCC